CUUGGUCAUUUAGAGGAAGUAAAAGUCAUAACAAGGUUUCCGUAGGUGAACCUGCGGAAGGAUCAUUAAUAAUGCCCUCUGGCUUCGGUCAGCUGGGUUCAAUGUGUGACAUCUCUUCGGAGAUGGCCAUCCACACACACCGUGAACUGUGACUUCGGUCAUCACAAACUUUUAGUAAUGAAUGUAAAAAUCAUAACAAAAUAAAACUUUUAACAACGGAUCUCUUGGCUCUCGCAUCGAUGAAGAACGCAGCGAAAUGCGAUAAGUAAUGUGAAUUGCGGAAUUCAGUGAAUCAUCGAAUCUUUGAACGCACCUUGCGCCCUUUGGUAUUCCGAAGGGCAUGCCUGUUUGAGUGUCAUGAAACCUCACUCCACUUGGGUUUUUGCCUGAGUGGUAGUGUAUUGGGUGUUGCCUUGCCAAAGGCUCGCCUUAAAAGAAUAAGCACCUUGGAUGUAAUACGUUUCAUCCUUUCGGGUGGCUAAUAACCCCACAUAACUCAUGAUCUGGCCUCAAAUCAGGUAGGGCUACCCGCUGAACUUAAGCAUAUCAAUAAGCGGAGGAAAAGAAACUAACUAGGAUUCCCUUAGUAACGGCGAGUGAACCGGGAUGAGCUCAAAUUUGAAAUCUGGCGUCUUUCAGGCGUCCGAGUUGUAAUCUAUAGAGGCGUUUUCCGCGCUGGACCGCGUCCAAGUCUCUUGGAAUAGAGUAUCAAAGAGGGUGACAAUCCCGUACUUGACGCGACAACCGGUGCUCUGUGAUACGUUCUCAACGAGUCGAGUUGUUUGGGAAU
rnacentral:sRNA from 1 species